ACUGGAAGCUGCUGGGACCAGUUGUUGGGCAAAACCAAUAUGUUUUGUCCACUCUUGCAGUCUUCCUAGAGCAAAGUGGAGGUCUCUGUCUGCUUUAGGACAGCCAACUAAACCAGAUCGUUCCCCUCCAUACAAC
rnacentral:snoRNA from 1 species